rnacentral:rRNA from 1 species
GCCCAAAAUUAAGCCAACCAAACUACACUAAGCCUCCUACCACGUCAAUCAAAACAUUUGCCUCAGUCAGUAAAUGAGAUUAAACCCCAUCAAUUGGCCUUAAAUUACCGCAAGGGAACAAUGAAAGAAUAAUGAAAUAACCUAAGCAUAAAACAGCAAAGACCAACCCCUGUACCUCCUGCAUCAUGGUUUAGCAAAACCCUUUCAGACAAAGAGAACCUUAAGCCUGACCCCCCGAAACCAAACGAGCUAUUCUUAGGCAGCUAUUAACAAAGAGCGCACCCGUCCCUGUAGCAAAAGGGUGGGAAGACCUAAAAAUAGAGGCGAAAGGCCAACCGAGCUUGGUGAUAGCUGGCUACUCAAUAAAAGAAUUUAAGUUCAACUUUAGGCAUUCACAAGCACACCCACCCUAAACUUCACCUAUUUAACCUAAAGAAAAUCAAUGGGGGUACAGCCCCAUUGAACCGGAAUACAGCCCGAACCGAGAGGGAAACCCCAAACGUACUCACCGUAGGCUUCAAAGCAGCCACCAUACAACCGCGUUACAGCAUACCUAAAACAAUUUCAUAAAUUUUACCAACCUCCUGAUUCACCCUGAGUUAUCCUAUAAACAUAUAGAAAAACUAAUGCUAAAAUUAGUAAUAAGAAAUACUUCUCUCUGCACUCCUUUAAGCCAGAAUAGAAAAACUACUGGUAAUUAACAAAUUCAAUCCGACCACUAUAUUUAAACAAGUUUAAGUGUCACCCUAAUAUUGUUACCCCGACACAGGAAUGCAAAAAAGAAAGGCAAAAUCCCGCAAAAGGAACUCGGCAAUUACUUAAUCCCAACUGUUUACCAAAAACAUAGCCUUUAGCCUUACAAGUAUUAAAGGUCUUGCCUGCCCAGUGACUCUUUAAACGGCCGCGGUAUCCUAACCGUGCAAAGGUAGCAUAAUCACUUGUCCCCUAAAUCGGGACUAGAAUGAAUGGCUAAAUGAGGAUUAAACUGUCUCUUACGGGUAAGCCAAUGAAAUUGAUAUCUCAGUACAAAAGCUGAGAUAAAAACAUAAGACGAGAAGACCCUGUGGAGCUUAAAAACCAAACCACCAAAUAUGGUCCUUGGAUUUUUAGUUGGGGCGACUUUGGAGCAAAACAAAACCUCCAAAUAUAAAUACCUGCCUUAUUAAGAUAAACAUACCAAAACAAUAACAUAGACCCAGCAAUUAAACCCACCAAUUGCCUGAUAAAUGAACCAAGUUACCCCAGGGAUAACAGCGCCAUCCCCUUAUAGAGUCCCUAUCGACAAGGGGGUUUACGACCUCGAUGUUGGAUCAGGACACCCCAAUGGUGCAGCCGCCAUUAAAGGUUCGUUUGUUCAACGAUUAAUAGUCCUACGUGAUCUGAGUUCAGACCGGAGAAAUCCAGGUCGGUUUCUAUCUAUGGAACACUAUCCUCAGUACGAAAGGACCAAGAUAGUAGGACCAAUAUUAAAAGUAUGUCCUAACUAAAAUUACUGAUAUAACUCAAGUAAAACCUGUGGUCCUCCCCGACCCUAUAAUAGGGCUU